GCAUUCGUGGUGUAAUUGGAAAUACAUCUAUCUUGCAACUGGAAGGUCCAGGGUUCGAGUCCCGGCGAGAAUA
rnacentral:tRNA from 1 species